UGCACGUGAAUAAUGGGUAGAAAGAUCGUCCAUCGGAGAUCCAAAUUUGUUCUCCACAAAAUCAGUGAGAUUUCUAAUGAAGAUCUGUGGGGAUAUCUAGUAAAUUUCUACUAGAUGUAUAACAAGUGGACAUUUGAAUCUCUAAUAGAACUCUAACGUACUUAUCAUUUUGCUUGAAAUGGAUGUCUGAUAGAUAUAUUGCUUAUCCGUCAUGGAUGUCCAUGGUACAUCGAUUAAAGAUAUUCAAGACAAGGACUAAUCUAGUCGGAAGAGACGUGCCAAAUACAAUCACACUCGAACUUCGCUUACAGAUUCACAGAUCGAUGUUUUGCAAUGGUCAAUCACUACUUCGCAAUUAUCACCUUGAGCAUGGAAUUUGGGAAUAUUGUCAUAAUUACAAUGGAUCACAGUAUACCUUCAGAAGAGGCUUUUAUUAUAUUCGAAAUUGAAACAACUUACUUGUCGAUUCAUCGAGUGAAAUAAAAACCUGUUUCAGGUAAUACAAAACCGUAGCCUUCGGCACAUACCACAACGCACCGAAUCCCUUCCUGCAGAACAGAGCAAUCGCUGUGCCCAUUUGUUGGAGAUGGAACGUUUUCACAUGCAUCUAAAUUGUAAUUUGCGCAAAAAUGGUGUGUGACUUUUACUAAUCUCCAGAGGAUGUCCAGAGUUGUCAUAAAAUACAGGCUCGUCCCAAGUAAUAUUUAUUGCCAUCGACUUGUUCUCAAGUAGAAAAAUAGGAGGAUCAACGCAGUUUUCAACAGUGGGUGGUUCCUUGUCUGUAAAAUAUUUGAUUAUGCAUUUGAACAGAAAACAAAAUGCAUUAUUUGUUAAUGUUAGAACAAUAUACCAGAUUUUUACCUAUAA